rnacentral:rRNA from 1 species
AGGUUCGGAAUAACUCAGGGAAACUUGUGCUAAUACCGAAUGUGCCCUUCGGGGGAAAGAUUUAUCGCCUUUAGAGCGGCCCGCGUCUGAUUAGCUAGUUGGUGAGGUAAAGGCUCACCAAGGCGACGAUCAGUAGCUGGUCUGAGAGGAUGAUCAGCCACAUUGGGACUGAGACACGGCCCAAACUCCUACGGGAGGCAGCAGUGGGGAAUCUUGCGCAAUGGGCGAAAGCCUGACGCAGCCAUGCCGCGUGAAUGAUGAAGGUCUUAGGAUUGUAAAAUUCUUUCACCGGGGACGAUAAUGACGGUACCCGGAGAAGAAGCCCCGGCUAACUUCGUGCCAGCAGCCGCGGUAAUACGAAGGGGGCUAGCGUUGCUCGGAAUUACUGGGCGUAAAGGGAGCGUAGGCGGACAUUUAAGUCAGGGGUGAAAUCCCGGGGCUCAACCUCGGAAUUGCCUUUGAUACUGGGUGUCUUGAGUGUGAGAGAGGUAUGUGGAACUCCGAGUGUAGAGGUGAAAUUCGUAGAUAUUCGGAAGAACACCAGUGGCGAAGGCGACAUACUGGCUCAUUACUGACGCUGAGGCUCGAAAGCGUGGGGAGCAAACAGGAUUAGAUACCCUGGUAGUCCACGCCGUAAACGAUGAUUGCUAGUUGUCGGGAUGCAUGCA